rnacentral:rRNA from 1 species
UGGGGAAUAUUGGACAAUGGGCGCAAGCCUGAUCCAGCAAUUCCGCGUGGGUGAAGAAGGUCUUCGGAUUGUAAAGCCCUUUCGGCAGGGACGAUGAUGACGGUACCUGCAGAAGAAGCCCCGGCUAACUUCGUGCCAGCAGCCGCGGUAAUACGAAGGGGGCUAGCGUUGCUCGGAAUGACUGGGCGUAAAGGGCGCGUAGGCGGUUUAGACAGUCAGGCGUGAAAUUCCUGGGCUUAACCUGGGGGCUGCGUUUGAUACGUUUAGACUUGAGGAUGGAAGAGGCUCGUGGAAUUCCCAGUGUAGAGGUGAAAUUCGUAGAUAUUGGGAAGAACACCGGUGGCGAAGGCGGCGAGCUGGUCCAUUACUGACGCUGAGGCGCGAAAGCGUGGGGAGCAAA